UGUUAGCUUAGGGUGAAUCUUCCCCUGCAAAGAAAAAAAAAAGAAAGAAAAGAAAAGAAUUGCCUAAAAAAAAGAGAAAAGGAAGCUCCAGAUCUUGAGAAAUCUUCAAAAAAAGAUAAACUCUGGGGUCCAGCACCACGGCCAAGUAGUUAAUUCUGCAUACUCCGCUUCAGCGGCCCAAGUUCAUGGGUUCAGAUCCCAGGCAUAGAGCUACUCCACUCAUCAGCCGUGCUGUGGAGGUGUCCCACAUACAAAAUAGAGGAAGAUUGGCACAGAUGUUAGCUCAGGGCUAAUCUUCCUCACCAAGAAAAAAAAAAAACCUCUGUACUUUGGUGAAAAAAUAAUGCCUUAAAGCUUCCAGUAUAAAAGGAUAGUGCAUAUUAAAGAAAAUUUAUAACAUAUGGGAGUGUAGAAAACAAUAGGAGUCACUGGAGUCCCUUCAUCCAGCCACCGUGACUAUCUCCACUUUGCCUGGAGUCUGUCUGAGGUUGUGCACGUGUGAUGUGUGUAUUUACUUGAAUGUACAGCAGAAGGUGCAGACAGGCAGCCUCUGGGCCAGAGAAACAUCUGGCACAUUUUACUUGGCCCAUGCAGUAUAUUUAUAAUUUAAGUUAGAUUUUAACAUGCAAAAAUGAAGAGAUUUCACAUUAAAUCCAGAGUUAUGGUUUUUCUUGAAAAAAUUGAAUCUGCAAUUCCAGACGGCAGGAGCUGAGGAGAGGCAGUCCCCUUGGAAGGGGCCAUGUCUGGCUCCUGUCGGUGUUUAAAUUUGAUGCCCUUAAUGUGGAGUUUUCGUUUUUUUAAUCAUUGCAUUCAUCUUGUUUCUGCAACUUUACGUUCAGCUCUUUUCUCUGAACACUCUAGUACACCACUAACGGAUCACACGUUGUGAGUACUGUCUGUGCCGCCGCCCUCAUCACACAAGUGCAGAGAGCAGGGGAGGAAACUUCCAGUUAUUGGGAUAUUUUCUUCCAAUUUGCUUCUGUGCAAAUAUCCUUUUGAAAAGCGGGAGUCAUACUGUACGUACAACUGUGUAUCCAGCUUUUUCACUUUUCCUUGUAGUAUUAUAAGUCCUUACACCACUCAUCAGUUGUAUGCGGCUCAGUUAACUGAGUCUUCCCCUAUGGCUGGAUAUUUAGGGCUUCCUUUUUCUGCCGUGAUUAUGUUAUAAUGAAUGUCUUUGUGCUGAAAGCUUUUUUCUAUAUUGAGGAUUCUUCUGCGGUUAAAGGACCAAACAGCUUCAAGGCCCUUGACGUAUGUGCAGAUGGUACCCCAGGCCAUCCAGUGUUCUGACUUCCUGUGCCCCUGUAAUUCGUGAAAAUGUUUCCUGACACCUUUACAACAUUGAAUAUAUAUAUUAUGUGUCUAUUCCGUUAUAUUAUAUAUUCAUUAUUGAUCUGAUACAGAAGCAUAGUGCCUUCUGGUUUUAAUUUGCAUUCUUCUCCUCCCUAAGUACCCAACUUUGCCCUUUGAAAAGAGCAGAAUGCUGAGGGAAGAGUCUCUCUAGUUCAAAAAGAGACUUUGCCAUGGGACAGCCACCACAACGGAGGAGGAGGCAACUGUUAGGGGCAGAAGCUGAGAGAUCCCUGGUUGAGGCAGAAGCAGCGAGGAGCAGAGGCGACGGUGGACUGAGCAAGACAAGGAAGGAAGGCACCAGUCAGCCCUGUGAAACCCAGGAGGGCUUAGGCAGCAGUCUGUGAUCCAGGCCUUACAGCAAAAGCCCGGAAUAGCCAAAUCCACAGGAUACAGGUUUCUCAUCUUCUAGUGUGUAGUUUUUUCAGGUCCAAGUCCUGAUGAGGCCAGUAGUGUGGGAGGAGACUUUACGUUUUCCAGCACAAGUGAUCUCUCCGUUUCUUUAUUCUUCUCCCCAAUUCAUCCUACCAGCUUGAAAUUCCUCUUGAAAAGGGAUUUGUCCAGAACCCUCUGCCAUGAAUCCGAAACAUUUAACUCACAGAAGCAUGCAACCAAACUAGAAACCAAGUACCCGGGGCCUGGACUGUGGGACCUGAAUUAAAAUGACCUGAAACAGGAAGGCAACGUCAGUGUGGCCGGUCAGACAUCAGGCCAAAGGCAGCAAGGGACAGCCAUUGCUCAUGCUGGAGCUGCUCAUUGUUAACGUGGAGUCAGAGUCUUCUCAUGCUUUUUCUGUGAUGCUUCAUCAAGCAGAAGUUUGAACAGAAAAGGGAAAUAUGAAAAUCUGAAACCUCCUGUGAAUAAAUGAAUGCAAUCUGUGAUCAAACACGAAGGGAGCCUUUGAACUGUAUUUCAUUGAAGGACAUGCAGCUACCCGGGGAGGUGCUUCCUCACUCAUCCGUGUGAAGGGGCCAUGAGGUUUCACAUGUUUCUGUAUUGAUAUCCGGCAGCAUUGCAUAUUCCACCAUGGAGGGGGUAUGCUAGAGAGCUCUUUUCCAUCUCCUCAGAGGAGCCUAGUCGGUAAGAAACACUUCCCACGUGAUGAUGCGUCCUCUGCAUCAGCAGAAGCUGAGUUAACUGAGCGAUAUCUGUUGGCAUCAGCAGCGAUAGUGCUGCCUGCUAUGAGCUGGCGCUGAAGCGAAACGGAACAGGUGAGCUGCUGGCCGGAGCCAGACUGACUUUCAGUGACCCCAGGGUGUGGUUUCUCUUCUGCAAAUCCUUCUGGAGCUGUAGCUGGAAUAAGGGCUUCCCUCUCAAGAACACUUUGUGCAGGGGGCUCUUUGCUUUCCACAUGUAUUUGCAAAGCAGUGACCUUGUUGUCUGUAUAAAUUUGUACCGCAGAGGCCCAUCUGCUUUCUUCAGUGACAAGAAAUGGCUCACAAUGUAAAUACUGCUUGAAAUGCAUUCAGUGGCUGAAGGGGUGCGUGCACACUUUUUAUAUAGGACAGGUUAUAUCAUAAGGGCCUUUCUACAUUGUACAAUCUUAUAACAACUCUGAGACACAGACAAAUGUGAUCCUUGUGUAACAGAGGAGGAAACAGUUGAAAAGAAGUUAAAUGUUGGAAUCAGGGUCAGACGAGAAGUCAGUGGCUCAGUUCAACCCUUUACUCUUGGUCAGGUUCUUUUCUGGCUGUUCUCCGAAUAACAAGCAGAAAAAAGGAGCUUAUUUUUGGCUUUCCUGAAGGAUGAAUAAGCAGACACCACACCAGAUCACAGCAGAUGUUUAAUGAUAUUGAUUCAGUCAGCCUCCCUGCUGAUGCAUUUUCCAGUAUCACACGGUUUAAAAACUAUUUUCAGGGGCCUUAUGAGUGAAGCAUAGAGUCAAAUAGGAAGAUCUUGGCUUACUUUUAAUUCUUCUUCAUUUCUCUAGAUUUAAAACUCUAGGAGCUAUUUUCUUAUCAUCAACCAAUAAAACUCCCAGUUCAUACCAAACACUCCCUUGAGAAUUCACGGCCAAGUCAGGGAGCUGAGUGUACUUAUUCAAAAUGGAGAAUACAAGUGUGACCCCAGUGUGCAAAGCUGGUGAACAGCUGUGGUCCCAGUAACACACAUAUCCAGCUCUCAAUGGCAGUUGGCUGUCAGAAGUCCACUCUCAUCCGAAGUCUUUCUCCCCAAGUAAGUCUUGGCUUUGGAGAGAUGUGCACUUGUGUCCAAGACUGGGUCUUGGUCAGUCUUGCUUAUUGAAGCAGCAGAGGGUGACAAAGCCAGGACUCCGAGCUCCUGGUUCUGACAGCCCCUCAGAGGUGUCUCUGCUGACGGUGGAGCGCUGCUUGCCCUGAGUGGCCACAGCCAGGGCCGUCCACAUGGCCACCAUCAAGAGGCCAGCUGGGCUGGUCCUUCCAAGUUGGAAGUUCUCCAUCUGUGCAGGGGAGGGAAACCUGUUCAUUCAACAAAUGCUCCUCGAGCAUCUGUCACGUCAGGGACUAUUACAUCUCGGCUCUUAGGGUGCAGCAGUGAACAAGGCAGAGGCCCUCUUCUCCCGGGACUUGUGUUUCUAGAGGAGAGAGACGAUGAACAAACACACAAUUUUGUCUUGUAUUUUGGCCAUAUAUCAAAUUUAAUAUUUAGAAAGUUUAGUGGUCUCUGCAAUUCUUUGAGAAAGGUGAAUUUAGUCCAGAGAAUUUUACAGCAAGAGAAGCAGUUAAGAAGAGGGCACAAGAGAUUAACACAAAAAGGAAAGAAGUAAAAAAGAAAGAGACAAACAAUAAAUCUUAAACUCCGAGAGAGGCAGUUCGCCGUGAGGGCCUCAGUCACUUUUUGAUGCAGUGUCAUCAGUAAAGGGCACAGAAGGACAAACAUAUGAGGAUAAUUACAAGUAAUACAAAAGCUGGAGCCCAUUCGCAUUCAAUUUUCAGUCUGCCUAGGCCUAGUCAGGAGAAUAAGUCUCAAAGGGUUGGUUUGAUCAGUUUUGAUUAACCAGAUGACUAUAUUCCUUUUAUUGAUUACUUGUAUUGUGUUUUUUGAUGUAUUUACCCAAACACAAUAAAAUGCAUUGAAUAUUA